GAUGAACGCUGGCGGCGUGCCUAACACAUGCAAGUCGAGCGGAGUUAUGAGAGGUGCUUGCACCACUUUUAACUUAGCGGCGGACGGGUGAGUAACACGUGAGUAACCUGCCCUCGAGUGGGGAACAACAUCGAGAAAUCGGUGCUAAUACCGCAUAAUAUCUCUUUGCCGCAUGACAGAGAGAUCAAAGGAUUUAUUCGCUUGAGGAUGGACUCGCGUCCGAUUAGUUAGUUGGUGAGGUAACGGCCCACCAAGACAUCGAUCGGUAGCCGAACUGAGAGGUUGAUCGGCCACAUUGGGACUGAGACACGGCCCAGACUCCUACGGGAGGCAGCUAGUGGGGAAUAUUGGGCAAUGGGCGAAAGCCUGACCCAGCAACGCCGCGUGAAGGAUGAAGGUCUUCGGAUUGUAAACUUCUUUGAUCAGGACGAAACAAAUGACG
rnacentral:rRNA from 1 species